rnacentral:rRNA from 1 species
CAGUCGCCACGGGAAUACGAAGGGGGCUAGCGUUGUUCGGAUUUACUGGGCGUAAAGCGCACGUAGGCGGACUUUUAAGUCAGGGGUGAAAUCCCGGGGCUCAACCCCGGAACUGCCUUUGAUACUGGAAGUCUUGAGUAUGGUAGAGGUGAGUGGAAUUCCGAGUGUAGAGGUGAAAUUCGUAGAUAUUCGGAGGAACACCAGUGGCGAAGGCGGCUCACUGGACCAUUACUGACGCUGAGGUGCGAAAGCGUGGGGAGCAAACAGGAUUAGAUACCCCCGUAGUCCCUGUCUCUUAUAA